UCCCUGGAAUUGUGGAUACAGACACCAAGACUGGCUUGGAUUUCCUGUUCUUUCCAAUAAUUUCUUUGAUCAAAUUCAGCAGGAUUUCUCUGGUGUGGCUGCAGAGAAUUGUGCUUCUGGUACCUAGAUGUUGUAUCAACAUUGAUGUAGGACUGACAGUUCUUUGUCCAAGUGGGAGGCCUCAUGUUUACCUGAGCUGGGUAAAACCACCAAGAAGCAGCAGAGAACCUGUUCUCAUACAUGAGGGACUCGUGCAGCCAUGGCAGCAGCGAGGAAUUGAGUAAUCCCUUCCAGGCCAGGGAAGACUUGGAGAAGUGGACAACUAGAAAGGCAGCUGCAAAACUGCAGAAAUCUUUAUUUUUGCAAAAAAACCCAACAGUUUUCAGCUUUCUUGAACUCUUGACUCUCCAGUAAUUCAAAUGAAGAGGCUGGAGAGGGAUAAAAUGACUGUGGCUAAAGUGUAGGAGAGUUGACAAUGGACUGAUGUGGUGAGGAGGGGGCAGCCUUCCCAGCUCACUGCAGAAAUGGCUGAGGUGAAUUGAAGCCAGCAGCGUGGCAUCUUCAUCCUGAUGGCCACUGGUGCAAACUGAGCACUCCAGGGAAGCAAUGGGAAGGAGUUGCCCCUAUAGUGUGCAAGAUACUUGUUCACAGGGGAGUAAGAAACUAACAAUAUACUGGAAAACCGAGCGGGACAAAAAAGAAUUUGAGAAUUGGAAGGAAGAAGCAAUUGAAAACAAAUCUGUUCCAAGUGAGUUGCUGACCUUUCACUUGAUAGCACACACACCGAGCAAAUGGCCCAAUGCCUUCUGCUGAGCUGUGCCAGCCUCUCCUGGUCCAGGGCCUGCCCCUGUGCUGGGUUCAGGGGCCAGGCUGACUCCCUGCCAGCUGGCUGACUAGGGAGGCUCAAGAGCCCUGUUCUAGGGCACGUCCAGCACUGCAGCAAGAUGGGAAUGAGAUUCACUGGGUGGGUGGUCUUCACUUUCACCAUCAGCCCAUAAAUAUGUCAGCACUGAAGGACUACAAUGGACUCUUCCAGCUCUGAGUUGGAUGUUCAUGCAUGGAGGGACUGUGGCUGGGUGUCUGCUCAUCGUUCAGAAGGGGAAUGGGCUGGAGCAGGACAGAGAACAGGAGCCUCAGGCAGAGGCUGUGCCUUGCUUCUGCUGCCCUGGCCUUUGCCCUGUUGAAGGUGCUGGUCCUCCUCACCCUCCACAUUCCCAUCAACAAAUGUUUAGGGUUUUUUAAUAUUGUUUCUUGCCAAGUUAAUUGCUGAGAAAGCAAUUGCAUCUGGGUUUGAAUGCUCCCAGCUAGACCUGUGGCCUGCAGGGCACUAACAGCCCAGAUGAAGAGCUAGUUAGAUGAAGGUCCCCAUUUGUUUUAGAAGCGUGGUGAACUCUACCUUUCAGACAAAACAGAGAAGGAAAGGAACUGAAAACAUUUGUGAUGUUUGAUCCAACACCCAAUAGCUUAAAUGAGAUUCUACUCCAGCUAAAGAAGCAUGUGAAAGAAAGUAGACACAGUCAAUUGUAAAAAUGAUCUCUUUAUAUUCUCUGGAGAAGUUAAGUCUACUGGGGUGCCCUGUUUGCAACUAUUUGUUAUGAAUAGUUUCAAUAAAAUGAGGUGUAUUUCUUUUUAUAGACAUACAGUUCAUGUUUCUCAGGCUUCUUUCUGCAUAUAAACUGUCCAAAUUUAGUAGAACCUGUUAUUUAGCCUUCUUGACCUUUGCAGAGACCUCACCACUUGUACAAGUUUUUUGUGAGCAUCAGACAUCAUGGAUGUAAGCAGUCCUAGAAUACAUUUGUGCUUACCAUGUACACAUAUUAUUCAUAUGGGGAAAAUUAUUAAUCUCAGUAACAUCUGGAUAGAAGGGAGGUAAUAGGAGUUCAUGUUUGAAAGGCACAUGGCUUACUAAUUUUUAGGGCUUUUUUAAAAUUAUAAGUUGUUAAUGACUAGAAGAGAGAUUGCAUUUUGUUAAAAUUAUGAUUUCAUUAAGAAAAUGCAAAGUCUGAAACAAAGUAGUCCAUAAGAUAGUGUUGACUUCAGGGGAGCUUAACAUUCAAGGCAUAUGUUAUUCUAUUUGGAAAUCUAAUUUAGGCUCCAGUCCAGAACAGUUAGGCAUGUCUUCAGCUUUUACUACUUCUAUGGUGAUAUUUGCUAUCAGAAUAGUCAUAUUGAUGGACCAGAACUUUACUGAGAUAAUGACCUAAUUUAAUUUGUAUUCUAAGGGAAGACCAUUAUACUCUUCAGCACAUGGAGCUCAUACACCUGCAUAUCUGGCAGGUGUAACAAUGCAUUACCAGACCCCUGGGUACUUACUGGUAUUAUAUUCUAUUGGAGUGAAAAUAAGGUAGGACAUUUGCAAGAGAAAACCUAAAUAUUUAUUACUUUCACAUAAUAUUUUAUUUAUAUGGAUCCAGGUUUCUUAGUGAAAAACUGAGGCCAGUGAAAAUCUGGAUGGUCUUUAAUGAACUGCAUGACCUUUAAUGAAGACAGUGCAUAUCCAGAGACAUUAAACAAUCACCAGAACAGAAAAGAUGCUAGGAAUAUUGACAGAUUCAUUGCCAAGUGCCCAACCCAGCAUGGCUGGUAGGUUAUGUGCAGCAUUUUGCUACUUGGAAGGUGGAUGGGCUCAGAGCUGGAAACAUUAAUGUCUUGAGAGCAACUUUCUGACUUGGCAAAGCUGAAGUUGUUGAAAUUGCUCUUUCAGGCUGCACAGAAACCUUUAAAAUAUUUGGGUACUCUGGCAAGUAGAUUGUCGAGAGCAGGUGUUUGAACUGCCUGUUUAUGUGUUUGCAGAAAUGUUGUGGGUUUUAGUGACUCUGAUAUCCAUGUCUCCUUGUGAACCUUGAUAAUCCACCUCAUGCCUCUGACAGCUGAAGUAGGUAAAAUAUUUCACAUAAAUACCUGUUAGCUUAAUGCAUGUCUGCAUCUAAAUUAAUGUGAUUUUUCACCAGCUAUUUAUGCUCUAUGCUCUAAGUAGUGUUGCCAAGUAUCUAAAAAGUUCUCAGAAUAAUACCUUGUGUUUCCAUCAAGAGACCCCAAAACAUUCCUUGACUAGGCAGAAGUUGUUUACCUCACCUCCUCUAACACUCAUCCUCAGAGAGGCAGGGACAGCAUCUAUGACUGACCACAUGUGCUCUGAACUUGCACAUUGGUUAAUAGGUAUAGCCUGGAUGAGGUCUUGUUUCCCUUGGGGAGCAGGCUUAAGGCAUCCCUGCAUUGGAUUGACUGGAGCUGGUGCUUUUCCUCAGCUGUGUAUUCCUGGCAGCCCAAGUCAUUUGCCCCCAGUGAUCUAAAAAACUCUCUAGAAGAAAUAGGAUCUUUGUCUCCCAGUCUGUUUUAGACCAUUCUUUCCUACAUUUGUCAGAGCUUUUCUACUUGUUUUUAUUGCUGAGCAAACCUAUUAUGGAGCUGAUGAAGAGGUAUCCAGGCUGUCAGAACAUUUGUUAAUAAAGAAAGGAAGAUAACUCAGUUUUUAAACAGGAGCAUGAAAUUUAGCCUGAUAGAGAAUGAUAGUAACAAGGAAAAUAUUUAUAAUAAUUCUCACACUUAGAACAGCUUAUUUUUCUUUUGUUAAAAACAUCUUACUAAAAACUCAUUUUCUAAAGCUUUAGUCAAAUUAAACUAUGAUUAACAUGUCAAAA
rnacentral:lncRNA from 1 species